rnacentral:lncRNA from 1 species
UUUGAUUGAAAAUUUUAGGAUUGAAUGGAUAGUUUAGGAUAUAUAAGUUAGGAUUGUUGUUUGGAUUGUUGUUUUAGUUUUUUUUUGGAAUUAUUUUGUGUUUUUGUUAAAAUUCAAAACGUUUUACUAUUUUUAAAACGUUUUUUGAUUUUUAAAAACGUUUUUCAAGUUUCCAGUAAUAAACUAUGUAUAAUAAAACGUUUUUAAAAAAUUUUAAAAAUAUUUUACAGCAUUUUUCUAUAUUUAUAAAAUUUUUAUAAUUUUGUAUACAUAUAUAUAUAUAUAUAUAAAUCAUGUAUAAUUAAAAAUUUUAAAAUUUUUAUAAUUCUUUAUAAGUUUCCA